GCUGACUUUGAAUCUCUCCUCAGGGUGCCGCGGGUAAAGCCGGGGAGCCAGGGAGAGACGUAAGUGACG
rnacentral:pre_miRNA from 1 species